rnacentral:rRNA from 1 species
UACGGGGGGGGCAAGCGUUGUUCGGAAUUACUGGGCGUAAAGGGCUCGUAGGUGGCCAACUAAGUCAGACGUGAAAUCCCUCGGCUUAACCGGGGAACCGCGUCUGAUACUGGAUGGCUUGAGUUUGGGAGAGGGACGCGGAAUUCCAGGUGUAGCGGUGAAAUGCGUAGAUAUCUGGAGGAACACCGGUGGCGAAGGCGGCGUCCUGGACCAACACUGACACUGAGGAGCGAAAGCCAGGGGAGCAAACGGG